ACGGGAGGCAGCAGUGGGGGAUAUUGCACAAUGGGGGAAACCCUGAUGCAGCGACGCCGCGUGAGUGAAGAAGUAUUUCGGUAUGUAAAGCUCUAUCAGCAGGAAAGAUAAUGACGGUACCUGACUAAGAAGCACCGGCUAAAUACGUGCCAGCAGCCGCGGUAGUACGUAUGGUGCAAGCGUUAUCCGGAUUUACUGGGUGUAAAGGGAGCGCAGACGGCAUGGCAAGCCAGAUGUGAAAUGCGGGGGCUCAACUCCUGAACUGCAUUUGGAACUGUCAAGCUAGAGUAUCGGAGAGGUAAGUGGAAUUCCUAGUGUAGCGGUGAAAUGCGUAGAUAUUAGGAGGAACACCAGUGGCGAAGGCGGCUUACUGGACGAUAACUGACGUUGAGGCUCGAAAGCGUGGGGAGCAAACAGGAUUAGAUACCCUGGUA
rnacentral:rRNA from 1 species